rnacentral:rRNA from 1 species
GAUGAACGCUGGCGGCGUGCCUAAUACAUGCAAGUCGAGCGAACAGACGAGGAGCUUGCUCCUCUGACGUUAGCGGCGGACGGGUGAGUAACACGUGGAUAACCUACCUAUAAGACUGGGAUAACUUCGGGAAACCGGAGCUAAUACCGGAUAAUAUAUUGAACCGCAUGGUUCAAUAGUGAAAGACGGUUUUGCUGUCACUUAUAGAUGGAUCCGCGCCGCAUUAGCUAGUUGGUAAGGUAACGGCUUACCAAGGCAACGAUGCGUAGCCGACCUGAGAGGUUGAUCGGCCACACUGGAACUGAGACACGGUCCAGACUCCUACGGGAGGCAGCAGUGGGAAUCUUCCGCAAUGGGCGAAAGCCUGACGGAGCAACGCCGCGUGAGUGAUGAAGGUCUUCGGAUCGUAAAACUCUGUUAUUAGGGAAGAACAAAUGUGUAAGUAACUAUGCACGUCUUGACGGUACCUAAUCAGAAAGCCACGGCUAACUACGUG